UACGGAGGGUGCAAGCGUUGUCCGGAAUCACUGGGCGUAAAGAGCGCGUAGGCGGCUAGGUAAGUCCGACGUGAAAUCUGGAGGCUCAACCUCCAGCGGUCGUUGGAAACUACUUGGCUAGAGUCCGGAAGAGGAGAGUGGAAUUCCUGGUGUAGCGGUGAAAUGCGCAGAUAUCAGGAAGAACACCGAUGGCGAAAGCAGCUCUCUGGGACGGUACUGACGCUGAGGCGCGAAAGCGUGGGGAGCGAACAGG
rnacentral:rRNA from 1 species